CCUACGGGAGGCAGCAGUGAGGAAUAUUGGUCAAUGGGCUUACCCCUGAACCAGCAAAGUCGCGUGAGGGAAGAAUGCCCUAUGGGUUUUAAACCUCUUUUGUCAGGGAGCAAAUCCCGCUACGUGUAGCCGGACUAAGAGUACCUGACGAACAAGCAUCGGCAAACUCCCUGCCAGCAGCCGCGGUAAUACGGAGGAGGCGAGCGUUAUCCGGAUUUAUUGGGUUUAAAGGGUGCGUAGGCGGAAUGCCAAGUCAGCGGUAAAAUCGCGGGGCUAAACCUCGAUCCGCCGUUGAAACUGGUGUUCUUGAGUAGGCGAGAAGUAUGCGGAAUGCGUGGUGUAGCGGUAAAAUGCAUAGAGAUCAAGAAGAACUCUGAUUGCGAAGGCAGCAUACCGGAGCCCAACUGACGCUGAAGCACGAAAGCGUGGGUAUCGAACAGGAUUAGAUACCCGAGUAGUC
rnacentral:rRNA from 1 species